GACGAACGCUGGCGGCGUGCCUAAUACAUGCAAGUCGAACGCAUUUUCUUUCACCGUAGCUUGCUACACCGAAAGAAAAUGAGUGGCGAACGGGUGAGUAACACGUGGGUAACCUGCCCAUCAGCGGGGGAUAACACUUGGAAACAGGUGCUAAUACCGCACAAUUCCAUUUACCGCGUGGUGGAUAGAUGAAAGGCGCUUUUGCGUCACUGAUGGAUGGACCCGCGGUGCAUUAGCUAGUUGGGGGGGUAACGGCCUACCAAGGCUGCGAUGCAUAGCCGAACUGAGAGGGUGAUCGGCCACACUGGGACUGAGACACGGCCCAGACUCCUACGGGAGGCAGCAGUAGGGAAUCUUCGGCAAUGGACGCAAGUCUGACCGAGCAACGCCGCGUGAGUGAAGAAGGUUUUCGGAUCGUAAAACUCUGUUGUUAGAGAAGAACAAGGAUGAGAGUGGAAAGUUCAUCCCUUGACGGUAUCUAACCAGAAAGCCACGGCUAACUACGUGCCAGCCGCCGCGGUAA
rnacentral:rRNA from 1 species